GGGAUUUACAAUGUUGAAAUAACACUAACAGCAAUAAUGUCGAGAAUAUCAACACUGACAAUAACAGAAGUGAACACCCCAGCAUUCACCCCACAUGCGAGCCCUUCUUCUGUGUGCAAGCGUAUGAUGGAACAGUUGCUGGUUUCUUGCCCAUUUUAUUUUUUUCUCCAGCUGCACCGCGCGGCAUGUGGGAUCUUAGUUCCCUGACCAGGGUUCGAACCCGCACCCCCUGUAGUGGAAGUACAGAGUCUUAACCACUGGACCGCCAGGGAAGUCCCUUGCCCAUUUUAUAGAUGAGGAGAUCAAAGCUCAGAGCAGCUAAGUGAUUUGUCCAAAGUCACAGAGCUGGGGUUUGAACCUGGCAGGCAGAAACCACAGUGCCAAGAGAGGAGACAGAUACAGAUUAGCGACCUACACUCCCCCACCUCCUCUUGGCUCCCAUCUCCGAAAAAAGGGCAACGGUCCUACCACAGCCCACAAGGCCCCCCAGGAUCUGCCUGCCACCUCCUCCCACUCACCCCCUCACUCCAGCCACAGGGGCUCCUCGCUGCCCCUUAGAAAUUCCAGACACCCGCCCACCUCAAGGUCUCUGCGCUGGCUGCCUUGGGGGCUGGAACUCUCCUCCCCCACGGCUACCACUCCCACCUCCUUCAGGCCUCUGCUCAAAUGCCACCUUCCCAGCCAGGGAGCCCCCCAACAUCAGUGAGAGAAAUGAGGAACCUGCAAGGACAACGGGAAGGAGCAGCCGGUGCAGCGGGAGGAAAGCCAGGAGAGCGGCUGUCCCGGAGGCCAAGAGAUGCUGGCCUGGCAGCUGAGCCGGGGCCUGCGAACUUCCCACCGGACCUAGCAAUGGGGACGUCACUGUGGGUCUCAGCAAGAGUGGAUCCACGGCCUGCACGUGGGUUGGGGGGGGCAGAGGCUUGGUCAUAAAAGCCUGAAUGCAGUGAAUGGCGUGAGUUCAAGCGAGCAGGGGGAGAAGGGGAGGCUGAGCACAGGUAACCUGGCCCAGGGGCGGGCCGACCGACAGUCCCGAUCCACCCGAGACUGAGGGUUUCCUGGGAUGUGAGGCUUUCAGCUUGAAAACCAGGAAAGCCCUGGGCAAAGUGGGCCAGCCAGUGCCCCAGCCGGCAGCAUGGCUGGAAGGGGAGCAGAGGAGGCGGGUGGGAGGCAGAGCCGGUGGGGAGUGUGGGGUCCAGGGAGCAUUCUCCUUCUUGGGCUAGAGCUCACUGCGGGGUGGGCGUGUUCCGUGGUGACAGAAACAGUGAGGCAGGACCAAGUCUGCUGCUAUCAGAGACUGGGGAGAAUGGCAGGGGUGAUACUGCUGAGUAGGCCGGAGGGAAGGGGGUCGGUGCACCGGAGCGCGGGUGCCUGCGACGGGAGGAGGGACAGGUCGCCCACGAAAACAGAAAAGUGCUCGGUCAGCUGCCGGCAGACGUCUGGCCAGGGGCAGGAAGUUCUGCUUUGGCUGCUUCUAUUUUCCCACGAAAUGCAAAGCCCAGUCGUAAGCUGAGGUGGGGAGAGAGUGGUGGUGGUGGGCCGCUGGGAAGAGCUGUCCGGGCGAGGGGGAGGGAAGCAAGGCCCCAGGCCAGGAGGAGCUGAGAAGCGGGUGUGGGUCGCUCGCUGGGUCUUCUCCAGCCUGGAGCGUCCCCUCAGACACACAGGUGUCGGGGGGAGGAGCGCGCGACUUGUGCCGAAGGAGGAAGCAGAACAGAGGGCUGGGGCUGCUGGUCAGGCCCGAGAAGGUCGGGUCGGAGACUUGACCUCAUGGGGGCGAGCUGGGAAGCGAGGAGGAAGUGGUCGGAGGGUGGAAACGUUUGACACUCAUGGGCAGAGGAGGAGGCAGUCACUGGUGAACAGGCCGGUGGCUCCCAGCCUUAGCCGGCGAUCGGAAUCACCAAGGAUAAGUGUUCAAAAUCCCUGAGCCUAGACCACACCCGGACCAAUGACGUCAGAUCCUGUGAAGGCAGGAUUCACGUGUUAGUAUUUGUUCUUUUAAUUCCUCAGGGGUCCAAUGUGCUGAGAAUU